CCUCGUGUGGCCCUCACAAAUGAUAGCAGAUCCUCUACCAUUUCAAUGUAGGAACUCCAAAACUGGAAAGGCACUUUGGAGGUCAGCAGCAACUUUUAAAGCAGCUUCCCGGCAGUCUUGAGAAAGGGUUUCAAGACCCAGCAGCAAUAACGUCAGCCUCAAUCAGAAUGUCUUGUAAGCCAGCAUCUCCAAAUGCGCUUGCCAAUACAGGACAGGAAAGCCAUACAUGUGUGAAACUCCCCAUUCUAAUUGUAAUCCCAGAUCCUCAGCCCUGCUGUGAGAUAUCUUCUUGACCUGAUCUGACUAAACCCUGACACAUCUAUUCUGCUGAAACAAUGAAAAUGCUCUUUGUUUUUCACGGUUCAUCAUAAAACCCUUUUAAUGUUUUGCUCAACUGUUUGGUGGCGUGCAUUUUCAGUCGCUAUAUGUUGAAAAAUUUGUCCACUAGAUGUCGCUGUGUCUAUAGUAGCCUUUUUAUUAGUUUACCUUGACUAAAAUGUCAAUUAAGACACAGGGCUCUGUCUGGCCCUUCUCUUAUUACAUUCAUGGUCUGGCCUGGCAAGGUUUACAUGGGCAGGGUUUGUUUUUUGUGUGCAUAGUUUCGUCGGGAUCUAUAUAUUGUUAAAAUGAUAUGUUAAAUGUUCUACCAUUUUAUAUACAUAUUACUGCCAUAUAUUACUAAUACUAAAGCCUUGCUUGAUCAAAUAGUUGAAUUGUCAUUUAGUUAUAAAGGUAGUCAUGCUAAGACAAUACAUAUUCAACUUUUAUAAGAAUAAAUAUAUAUUUAACUUAAUAUGUUAUUACAUUAUAUAAUUAUAUUCUAUGAUUUUUCACUGUUUCUGAGAUGUAAAUAUCUGUAAUUUAUGUUUGGGGUUAAAAUGAAUUCUAAGCAUUUAUACCAUGAUUUAUCCAAACAUAUGAGGUCA